AGAGUUUGAUCAUGGCUCAGGACGAACGCUGGCGGCGCGCCUAACACACGCAAGUCGAACGAGCGAGAGAGAGCUUGCUUUCUCGAGCGAGUGGCGAACGGGUGAGUAACGCGUGAGGAACCUGCCUCAAAGAGGGGGACAACAGUUGGAAACGACUGCUAAUACCGCAUAAGCCCACGGCUCGGCAUCGAGCAGAGGGAAAAGGAGCAAUCCGCUUUGAGAUGGCCUCGCGUCCGAUUAGCUAGUUGGUGAGGUAACGGCCACCAAGGCAACGAUCGGUAGCCGGACUGAGAGGUUGAACGGCCACAUUGGGACUGAGACACGGCCCAGACUCCUACGGAGGCA
rnacentral:rRNA from 1 species